UGUUUGUGUCCGUAAUAUAUAUAUUAUACCCACCAAAGCCAUGUUGAAUGUGCCAACCCUUAAUAUUGUUAUAUAUUGAGAUUUAAAGCAGGGAGAUUUUAAAUUGUAUAAAAUGAAAAACUUUUGUGUUGUGAAAGAAAUACUAUCUGAACAUACUAUUCCACUUGGCUAAGAUCACUACAUUUCAAAUAUUAUGACUAUGAAAGAUAAUUCAUAUGAUGUGUGAGAAACUUCUUUCGAGCAAGAAUGUAGUUAUUUCUGAGGGGACUGAUGGAGGGGGGGGUAUCAGCACGAUUCACGUGUUGAUUUUUUUGUCAAUCACGAUUCACAGAAAAUAGAUUUCCAUGAUCACGGAUCACGAAAAUAUAAAAAAUAAAAUCUGUUGAAAAUGCGCAGAUCUCGAAGUACGAAAAUAACCCAUCAGGCAUCUCAUUUAUAUGAAUUGUUAACAUUAAUUAUUAAAACAUCAAACAGAAGAUACAAAGGAUUUUUAACCCAAGUGGAAUAGACUGAACAUUUGUUGUUUCAAAAUUUUUUGACAUUUUUGUCAACGUUUAUUUUAAACUUGAAGCUUAUGUCUUUAUAAUUCGAUAUAAAAAAAAAAUAAUUAAGGACAUAUGAAAUUGGAGUUAAAUUAAAUUUAGUAAAGAUGGCUGAAAUUGUGUGAACAAAAGGGUUGUUACUGAAAUAUUAAAAAAUGCUAUGAUAAUAUUUGUGUAGAAAAUAUUUUUUUUUAAUACAUAUUCAAGAUUAAUUUAUGAUCCUAUAUGUAACUUAUUAAGAAAUUCUUUUAAGAUCUGUUUGUGGAUUGUUGUCUGUGAU
rnacentral:lncRNA from 1 species